rnacentral:rRNA from 1 species
UACGGGGGGGGCAAGCGUUGUUCGGAAUUACUGGGCGUAAAGGGUUCGUAGGUGGCUUGCUAAGUCAGACGUGAAAUCCCUCAGCUCAACUGGGGAACUGCGUCUGAGACUGGCGAGCUUGAGUGCAGGAGAGGAAUGCGGAAUUCCAGGUGUAGCGGUGAAAUGCGUAGAUAUCUGGAGGAACACCGGUGGCGAAGGCGGCGUUCUGGACUGCAACUGACACUGAGGAACAAAAGCCAGGGGAGCAAACGGG